UGUAAAAUAAGCUAAAUUUAAGCUAUUGGGUUCAUACCCCAAAAAUGAAUUGGAAAUUCUUUUACA
rnacentral:tRNA from 1 species